UACGAAGGGGAGGCUAGCGUUGUUCGGAAUUACUGGGCGUAAAGCGCACGUAGGCGGAUAUUUAAGUCAGGGGUGAAAUCCCAGAGCUCAACUCUGGAACUGCCUUUGAUACUGGGUAUCUUGAGUAUGGAAGAGGUGAGUGGAAUUCCGAGUGUAGAGGUGAAAUUCGUAGAUAUUCGGAGGAACACCAGUGGCGAAGGCGGCUCACUGGUCCAUUACUGACGCUGAGGUGCGAAAGCGUGGGGAGCAAACAGG
rnacentral:rRNA from 1 species